rnacentral:rRNA from 1 species
UACGUAGGGCGCGAGCGUUGUCCGGAAUUACUGGGCGUAAAGGGCUCGUAGGCGGCCAACUAAGUCAGACGUGAAAUCCCUCGGCUUAACCGAGGAACUGCCCUCCAAACUGCGUUGCUUGAGGCCGGGAGAGGUGAGUGGAAUUCCCAGUGUAGCGGUGAAAUGCGUAGAUAUUGGGAAGAACACCCGUGGCGAAGGCGGUUCUCUGGGAAGGUCCUGACGCUGAGACGCGAAAGCGUGGGGAGCGAACAGG